rnacentral:tmRNA from 1 species
UCAGUGCCUCCCGGCUGCAAGGAUAAUUACAUGGGCUGGCCUUGAUCCGGGUACCUUGGGUCGAGGUAAGAAAAUAGGGUGCUGGCUGUGGGUGUAGCGUGCGACUGCGCGACAUUCAUGGCGAGAGUUAAAACAGACCGCUAAACAUGUAGAUCUGCUCGAUGAAGGCUGACGGACGCGGGUUCAAUUCCCGCCAGCUCCACCA